AUCAGAAUCAAUCGGUCAUCUUGGGUAGCAGACUAUUCCGCCUCACCACAAUCAACCUUCAUACCGUGCGGGAAAGUAAGCCAUCGAAUGAGUUUUCUCUGGAGUUCGUAAAGAGUAAAUUAAUCGAUGAGUACGGGAGGCGUCAGGGAGCUGCAGGAGGAAAUCAGGAUCAAUCAGUUAUGAAAUCCGUAUAUAAGGGCAACAAAUAUAAUAGUACUCCAAGCACAGAGGCAAAGCAGUGUUAUUUUUGUAACAGGAAAGGCCAUUUUAAAUGAGAUCAACGAAUGCCAAUAAGGUGACCGAGAGCAAUGCUGAUGAUGCAUGUUUUAUGGUCAAUUGUAACUCAAAUGACGGAAAAGGGGAUUCUGCUUCGUGGAAGGGCAUUGUAAGGUUAGCGGAGAAAGGGCAACACUCCGAGGUUCAGGGAAUUGCUAAAAAGCCUGCAGUUUUGAAUAAUAAAUCCCAAUAGUCUUAAGGAAGCACCCACUAUAUGUUCAAUAUGAGGGACGAAUCAAAUGAAGGCCUAUCGUAAGCCUAAAUUUUUUUUUUUAGUUUCUUACUUUUUAAUAUACUUUUAGUCUAAGACUGAUGGUAAUCAUGUCCAAAACUAGAAAAAUUAAAAUUUCUAAAAUUGAUUUUUUUUAAAUUACAUGUUUUUUGUGAAUUCUUGAGAAAAUUAAUCUAUAAUAAAC